rnacentral:rRNA from 1 species
GGUUAAGCGACUAAGCGUACACGGUGGAUGCCCUGGCAGUCAGAGGCGAUGAAGGGCGUGCUAAUCUGCGAUAAGCGCCGGUAAGGUGAUAUGAACCGUUAUAACCGGCGAUACCCGAAUGGGGAAACCCAGUGUGACUCGUCACACUAUCAUUAACUGAAUCCAUAGGUUAAUGAGGCGAACCGGGGGAACUGAAACAUCUAAGUACCCCGAGGAAAAGAAAUCAACCGAGAUUCCCCCAGUAGCGGCGAGCGAACGGGGAGGAGCCCAGAGCCUGAAUCAGCAUGUGUGUUAGUGGAAGCGUCUGGAAAGGCGCGCGAUACAGGGUGACAGCCCCGUACACAAAAGCGCAUGUGCUGUGAGCUCGAUGAGUAGGGCGGGACACGUGGUAUCCUGUCUGAAUAUGGGGGGACCAUCCUCCAAGGCUAAAUACUCCUGACUGACCGAUAGUGAACCAGUACCGUGAGGGAAAGGCGAAAAGAACCCCGGCGAGGGGAGUGAAAAAGAACCUGAAACCGUGUACGUACAAGCAGUGGGAGCCCCACCACCAAAGCAUUCUCUGGUGUUGAAGGCCCUGCAAAGCAGCAUCGCGGUGGCGGAGCGUCGUUUGCGACGCCCAACACACAAAACAAGCGGUGAGUGCUUUGGGGUGGGGUGACUGCGUACCUUUUGUAUAAUGGGUCAGCGACUUAUAUUCUGUAGCAAGGUUAACCGUAUAGGGGAGCCGGAGGGAAACCGAGUCUUAAUUGGGCGUUAAGUUGCAGGGUAUAGACCCGAAACCCGGUGAUCUAGCCAUGGGCAGGUUGAAGGUUGGGUAACACUAACUGGAGGACCGAACCGACUAAUGUUGAAAAAUUAGCGGAUGACCUGUGGCUGGGGGUGAAAGGCCAAUCAAACCGGGAGAUAGCUGGUUCUCCCCGAAAGCUAUUUAGGUAGCGCCUCGUGAAUUCAUCUCCGGGGGUAGAGCACUGUUUCGGCUAGGGGGCCAUCCCGGCUUACCAACCCGAUGCAAACUGCGAAUACCGGAGAAUGUUAUCACGGGAGACACACGGCGGGUGCUAACGUCCGUCGUGAAGAGGGAAACAACCCAGACCGCCAGCUAAGGUCCCAAAGUCAUGGUUAAGUGGGAAACGAUGUGGGAAGGCCCAGACAGCCAGGAUGUUGGCUUAGAAGCAGCCAUCAUUUAAAGAAAGCGUAAUAGCUCACUGGUCGAGUCGGCCUGCGCGGAAGAUGUAACGGGGCUAAACCAUGCACCGAAGCUGCGGCAGCGACACUCAGGUGUUGUUGGGUAGGGGAGCGUUCUGUAAGCCUGCGAAGGUGGCCUGUGAGGGUUGCUGGAGGUAUCAGAAGUGCGAAUGCUGACAUAAGUAACGAUAAAGCGGGUGAAAAGCCCGCUCGCCGGAAGACCAAGGGUUCCUGUCCAACGUUAAUCGGGGCAGGGUGAGUCGACCCCUAAGGCGAGGCCGAAAGGCGUAGUCGAUGGGAAACGGGUUAAUAUUCCCGUACUUGGUGUUACUGCGAAGGGGGGACGGAGAAGGCUAUGUUGGCCGGGCGACGGUUGUCCCGGUUUAAGCGUGUAGGUGUGUGUUCCAGGUAAAUCCGGUUCACUUUAACACUGAGGCGUGAUGACGAGGCACUACGGUGCUGAAGCAACAAAUGCCCUGCUUCCAGGAAAAGCCUCUAAGCAUCAGGUAACAUCAAAUCGUACCCCAAACCGACACAGGUGGUCAGGUAGAGAAUACCAAGGCGCUUGAGAGAACUCGGGUGAAGGAACUAGGCAAAAUGGUGCCGUAACUUCGGGAGAAGGCACGCUGACACGUAGGUGAAGUGAUUUACUCAUGGAGCUGAAGUCAGUCGAAGAUACCAGCUGGCUGCAACUGUUUAUUAAAAACACAGCACUGUGCAAACACGAAAGUGGACGUAUACGGUGUGACGCCUGCCCGGUGCCGGAAGGUUAAUUGAUGGGGUCAGCGCAAGCGAAGCUCCUGAUCGAAGCCCCGGUAAACGGCGGCCGUAACUAUAACGGUCCUAAGGUAGCGAAAUUCCUUGUCGGGUAAGUUCCGACCUGCACGAAUGGCGUAAUGAUGGCCAGGCUGUCUCCACCCGAGACUCAGUGAAAUUGAACUCGCUGUGAAGAUGCAGUGUACCCGCGGCAAGACGGAAAGACCCCGUGAACCUUUACUAUAGCUUGACACUGAACAUUGAGCCUUGAUGUGUAGGAUAGGUGGGAGGCUUUGAAGUGUGGACGCCAGUCUGCAUGGAGCCGACCUUGAAAUACCACCCUUUAAUGUUUGAUGUUCUAACGUGGACCCGUGAUCCGGGUUGCGGACAGUGUCUGGUGGGUAGUUUGACUGGGGCGGUCUCCUCCUAAAGAGUAACGGAGGAGCACGAAGGUUGGCUAAUCCUGGUCGGACAUCAGGAGGUUAGUGCAAUGGCAUAAGCCAGCUUGACUGCGAGCGUGACGGCGCGAGCAGGUGCGAAAGCAGGUCAUAGUGAUCCGGUGGUUCUGAAUGGAAGGGCCAUCGCUCAACGGAUAAAAGGUACUCCGGGGAUAACAGGCUGAUACCGCCCAAGAGUUCAUAUCGACGGCGGUGUUUGGCACCUCGAUGUCGGCUCAUCACAUCCUGGGGCUGAAGUAGGUCCCAAGGGUAUGGCUGUUCGCCAUUUAAAGUGGUACGCGAGCUGGGUUUAGAACGUCGUGAGACAGUUCGGUCCCUAUCUGCCGUGGGCGCUGGAGAACUGAGGGGGGCUGCUCCUAGUACGAGAGGACCGGAGUGGACGCAUCACUGGUGUUCGGGUUGUCAUGCCAAUGGCACUGCCCGGUAGCUAAAUGCGGAAGAGAUAAGUGCUGAAAGCAUCUAAGCACGAAACUUGCCCCGAGAUGAGUUCUCCCUGAGACUUAGAGUCUCCUGAAGGAACGUUGAAGACGACGACGUUGAUAGGCCGGGUGUGUAAGCGCAGCGAUGCGUUGAGCUAACCGGUACUAAUGAACCGUGAGGCUUAACCUU